GGCGUAUUGAGCUGGCCCAUGUCACGUGACAGGAGACAGCAAAUGAGCAUCAACGUGCAACACAGCCCGCCGAGCCGACACAGUCAGCAAAAGGCAGAGCCGGAGGAAAAUCUGAGAUGGCAGUCAAAAAAACUAAGCGUGGUGUGGUGUUAUUAUUCACCAGUCGAUAAAACCACUGCGAGGUGCCAGGUGUGUGAUAAACAUGUUUUGCACAGUAGCAACACAAUUAAUUUAUUCAAACAUUUGAAGACGACGCAUCCCGAGAGCCACAGUGAGCUUGAAAAAAGACAGGCUGCUGCGAAAGCCCAGUCUCCUGCGCCACCCGCAGUCCGGCAGAAGACCCUGCACGAGAGUCUGCAAAAAAGCAAAUCCAGCUGUGAUAACCUGCAGGAGUGCAGGUUGCCCAAAGUAAAGAAAAUGGCUUUGACGUGCGACGUCGACUCCUCCACCGCCGUCAAUUCAGCUUUCUACAUUUGUGAGAACAAGUUUCCAGAUAAACGUACUGUCAUUGCCUGCAAGGAUCAGACUGCCGACUUAAAGUGUGAAAAGGGUGUUAUUCGCAUCAUCAAGUCCAAUUACGGACAUCUCGACCAGAACACCUGCACAGACACGCCUUCUGAAAACAGCUUCUGUGGAACGAAAGACUUUGAAGAAGAUGUGAAACGCAUGUGCAAUGGUAGAAAAGAGUGUUGAAUUCCAGGCACUGCUGAAGACCAGAUAUUUUAUAGAUUCUGUGAUGAAUUCCCCAAGUAUGUGUACGUGUCCUACGUCUGUGAAGCAUAAGUACAUAAGGAUAAGUACACAAUGAACACCAACAGUUGGUGUACAGGUGACCUGAAGAUGGAGGAUUUCUCCUGCAUCUGAGGAACCUUGUUCCAAAUCUAAAAAGUAAAUGACCCAAUUAAUAAAAGAGAGGAACUAUCAUCUGGGCCUUUGUCUUCUGUCAG
rnacentral:lncRNA from 1 species